GAUGAACGCUGGCGGCGUGCCUAAUACAUGCAAGUCGAACGCAUUGUGGUUGAAAUGAUAAGAAGAACUUGUUCAGAUUUGAUUUUCAACAUUGCAAUGAGUGGCGAACGGGUGAGUAACACGUGGGAAACCUACCUCUUAGCAGGGGAUAACAUUUGGAAACAAAUGCUAAUACCGUAUAAAUAAUUAAAACCGCAUGGUUUUAGUUUAAAAGAUGGUCUUGCUAUCACUAAGAGAUGGUCCCGCGGUGUAUUAGUUAGUUGGUGAGGUAAUGGCUCACCAAGACAAUGAUACAUAGCCGAGUUGAGAGACUGACCGGCCACAAUGGGACUGAGACACGGCCCAUACUCCUACGGGAGGCAGCAGUAGGGAAUCUUCCACAAUGGACGAAAGUCUGAUGGAGCAACGCCGCGUGUGUGAUGAAGGGUUUCGGCUCGUAAAACACUGUUGUAAGAGAAGAAUGACAUUGAGAGUAACUGUUCAAUGUGU
rnacentral:rRNA from 1 species